AAAAGGAAGAUUUGGAGACAGAGACCCAGGGAAGAAGGCCACAUGAAGAUGAGGCAGAGAUUGGAGUCAGGCAGCUACAAGCCAAGGAACACCGAGGAUUACUGGCGACCACCAGAAGUAGGAAGAUACCCUCCCAGAAACAUCAGAGAGGCCAUGGCCCUGCCAACACCUUGAUUUGUGACUUCCGGCCUGCUGAGCUGUGAGAGAAUACAUUUCUGUUGUUUUACGCCACCCAGUCUGUGGUAUGUGUUACAGCAGCCACAGGAAACCAAUAUAGCGUGUCUGAGGUGUACGUUGGGGGACGAGGUGCUAAGAAUCCAUGCUUUGGAUGGGCUCACCUGGUGGUGGUGGUGCUUUAGGGGAACACUGCACUAAAGAAUGCUGCUUUCUCAGAAACCCAGAGGGCAGGAGGCUGCCCGUUCAUCUGCUUCCCACGUUCUGCUAGCUUCGGUGACGUUACUUUCCCUCUGUCCUGCCUUUCUCAUGUCCCGCCUGUCUUUCGGGUUCUUGCUAUCCAGCGUUACACCAUCUGAUGCCACACUGGUCACUUCCUUACGUUGUUUGAGUCAUGCUCAUUCAGAUAUGGCCCCUGAUCUGUGAUCAUGGGGGGUGGUGGGAGUGUCCAAUCAGAGCUAAGACCCGGUGGGCAAUGGACACAUCAUAUUAUUAAAUUUAGCUUUACUCCACAUAAGCUGCCCAUUCUCGUGGCUAUACUGUGAACCUCCUCAUUCCUAGAAAUCUUAAACACCAACAUCCUGUCUUCAAUCCUAUAGUCCUCUCAUUGCUUUACUCCCUGACACCUGCACAUCAACUGCAUAGUGGCCGCCAGUCUCUCUCCUUCCAUCCAGCCUGGAUCCCUUGGUCAGCUCAGCAGCCUGGUCCCCUGCACCUCCCCUUCUUUGACCACACCCACCCACAAACAUGCAGCCUUAGGUCCCUCCCACCUGCCAUGUUCUCUGCCCUUUUGCUGGGCUGGAGAAAACGUAGAACUUGGAGACCAUGCCAUUACAGAUGUGUGAUCUCCAGUGCCACCUGGGCCUUUCUGACAGCUGGAAAAUCCUUAAGUAUGUUAUUCCUAAUGUUCGUUAUUCUCCCCGAAGUUUAUACCACAGUUUACUGCCCUCAGUGGCAGAUGCAUCUCAAGAAGAAAAUGUACACCAUGGGAGGGAGCCUCCAACUUUCCCAUACCGUUCCCAUCCCACCCCUUGGACCAGCACGCCAGUGUCUGGGAGGGAGGACCACUUCUGAAUGUCCAAGGCUGGUCCCCUGCCUGUGCUCCAGCUGCCACCCUUCCAACAAUAGCUAACUUUUGUUGAGGACUUGCUACGUAUCUACGUAUGUAUCCCACUGUACAGAGUGUUUUCUGACCAUCACCUCUUAGAAUUCUGGCAACAUCCCCUUGAGGUAAGUCCUAUUGUAUAUUUUCCUUUCCUGGAGGAAAGCAGGGCUCAGACUGAUUAAGCAGCUUGCCCAAAGUCACUGUCUUACUUUGGGUCCCCCCCCCCAACCCGGGCAGAACUGGAGACAAGGACUUGGGGGAAGGAAGUCUUCAGAAGGUAGUUUCAGGAAGCACAAGUCAAGAAGUGGGCAAAAUAAGACAGGAAAGGGAGAAAGCCAAAAAGCAUGUAAAUGAUUAGGUUAGCACAGUGGGUAGUGGGGCUCAGCCCUGUUGGCGCCUCUCUCAGAAACUGUGUGGAACCCCCUCUGGUUGGCGGAAUAAUGCACCUCCUGCCCCCAGAAGAUUGUCUAUGUCCCAUUCCCCGGAACCUGUGAAUAUAUUAUGUUCCAAGGUAAAGAGGAAUUGAGUUUGCUAAUCAGUUAACCUUAAGGAGAUUAUUCUGGGUUAUAUGGGUGGGCCCAGUGUAUCCACAAGCGUCCUUAAAAGUGGAAGAGGGAAUAGAGAACAGAGCGAUGUCAGCCUGAGAAGGAUCUGGCCCGACAUCGCCGGCUUUGAAGAUGGAGGAAGGGGCAUGAAUCAAAGAAAACAGGAGCCUUCUGGAAGCUGGAAAAGGUAAGGAAACAGCUUCUCCUCUAGAGCCUCCACAAGGAAUGACCCCUGCUGGUACCUUGGUCUUGGCCCAGUGAGAUCCGUGUCAGAUUCUGAUCCGCAAAACUGUCAGAUUGUAAAUGUGUGUUGUUUCAAACUGCAAAGUUUGUGGUAAUUUGUCCCAGCAGCAAUAGAAAACGAAUACAUCUCCUUAAAAUCACGCCACUGGCAGGCUGGAAGGCUGAGGCACUCAUCCAUGGACUCUCAUCUUUCAUUGGCUGAGGGUUGCCCCUGGGGCAGUGGACGGAGACUCAGAACUUCCUGCCCUGGAGAAGCAGCCCUGGAGGACCAGGCAGGCAGGUGAUGGAGGUGGAACACUGCCAGUGGGCUGGAAACUCUCCCCAACGCUUCAGGUGAAACCAGAAGCAGGCUGGGCAUUGAUGGUGUCGACAGCCUCUGCCACAGGGCCCAGCUGUAAGCAGUCAAGCCAGGAUUGGAACGGGGUUAAGUGUGGAGCCCACGUGCCUAGCCUAGGACUUCCCUGUGGCAUUUGAGGCCAUGACAUAGGAGGCUCAAGGGCUAUUUCUACUAGACAGUGCUAUUCCGGAGGACUCCCCCAUCCCCAGAGCCCCAGACACAGACAUUCACCACUUAGGUGGCUCUCGUUGCCUCUGGCUCCACUUUUCCAGUUGCGGUUCUCACUCAUGGGUGUGCACGGAUGAUCGUAGGUGGUAUGUGGAAGAACAUUAAUUUGUAUAGUCACAUGUUCGUUGUAACACACAUUGAGAAGAUUUAACUGACAUAUAAAACCUGUGAUUUCAUGGACAUUAUUAUUUAGGACAAAAAGGGAGUCAACUUAAAGAAAAAUUUAAAGAAACAAGAGCACAGCCUAAAGUGAUAGCAUUGGUCAAGUAAAUAAUAGCUACAGGAUAAAUUUCAGAAAAAUACAAACAACCUGCAUGAUCCAGCUUCUCCUUUUCCUCUCUGAUCUGAUCUCCGGAAGGUGCCCGCUUUCUCUUCUUCAGCCACACAGCCAUACUGAGUGCAUCCACACCCCCAGGCUCACCUGCUCUUUCUCCACUUUGCGUCUUGGCAAGCACCAUAUCUUUGCUUGUACCACCUCGUCUCCCUUUCUGGCAAAGGAAAACCAAACUUGUAAGAUUCUGCUCCAAGAGCCUUCCCUCUGAAGAGUUCUCUGGCUACUUCGGGGGAACAACCACCCCAUCUGUGGUAGGCAGAAUAAUGGCCCCUCAAAGAUGUCCACAUCCUAAUCACCCAUGAAUAUGUUACCUUGCGCGGCAAAAGGGACUUUGCAGAUGUGACUAAGUUAAGGAGUUUUUGAUGAGAAGAUUAUCCUGCAUUAUCUGGGUGAACAAGUGCAACCACCAGCAUCUUUUUAAGGAAAAAAGGAAGACAAGAGGAUAGAAAGAGAUGUGACAAAGGAAGCAGAGGUCAGAGUGAACUGGGGCCACCAGCCAAGGAAUGUGGGCAGCUUCCAGAAACUGGAAAAGGCAAGGAAAUGGAUUCUGCCCAAGAGACUCCAGAAGGAACACAGCCCUGCCAACCCAUUUUGGUCCUCGUCGUGGAACCUAUCCUGCUGAUUUGCAGUUCUUAUUCCAUAUAACUAAUCUCUCCUCCACAAUUCCACCCCUCCUCCAGAAGCCAUGAGCUCCUUGUAGAGACUGUGUCAUGUGUAUCUUUGCGGUAGGAAUGGCAGGAGAGUGGUAUUCUGGAAUUUGGGGACAAAGAAUUUAAGAAGGUAGGAGGAGUCAACAUUGUCAAGUACUACAGAAAAGUGAGGCAAGAUAAGGACCGAAAAUAGAUCAUUGGAUUUAAGAGGUCCCUAGUGGCCUUGGGAGAAGAUACUCACAUGCAGACGCCAGAGUGGAAGAUGAUGUAGUGGGCUGAUGAGUGAGUGGGAGUUGAAGAAGUGGAGAUAAUGAGCAUAAACACCUCUUUUAAGAGAUGUGUUGGAGAAGAAGAAGAGAGGACAUUCACCUGAGAGGGAAGAGAAGGAGUUUGUUUUUUAGAACCUCAAAAUCUUGGAGAGGUAUGUACGCCAAAGCGAAGCAGUCAAAGCAGAAGAGACUAAAGAUAUGAGAAUGGGAAGUGACAGGGAGAUGAAGAUCCAAAAGACAGGGAGGAGGAGAGGGAUUCUGGCGUGCGGACCGAGGCAGAAGAGGAAGCGAGGACGGGGGCUCUGGGAGGUAAGUUUGUUGGCAGAUUAUGCAGUGUUUGUUUUGUUUCUGCUUUCUUCACUACACUGUAAGCUCUGUGUGCACAGAUUGUGGCUCUGUGCUCAACACAGAAAUAACAGUUAACACUGAAAAUCACUUGCUCUGUUCCAGACACUGUUGUAAGAGCUCUGCCUAUGUUAACUCAUUUAAUCCUCAUGACAACCCUAUGAAGUAGGUAUCAUUAUUAUGCCCGCUUUAUAGAUGAGGAAAUGGAGGCACAGGGAGGGUAAGUAACUUGUCCAACGUCACAAAGGCUGAAAGUGGAGGACUUGGAUUUGAACCCAGCCUGUCUGUCUCCCAAGUCCACACUGCACAGAUGGGGUUGCUCAAGGAGUUGUCAAGCGAGUGAGGAACGGAGCUAGCUUUUCAUGCUCCCCCACAAAUAGGGUGGGUUUGCUUUCCUGCAUCUCUAUUUCUUCCUCCCCCCUUGUGGGGCCAUCAGCAUGAUCUUCUCACACAGAUGAGGGUGAAUGGAAGGGUGGCUAUCUGCUGGACCAAGGGUGACGUCACAAAGAUGCCUGAGACCUUAUCGCUUAAUCUCCACCUAGAGACAGGAGCCCAAAAUGCCCGGCUCCGUUAGGAUAACACCUUCCCAGACACCUCCCUCUUCCCUCUUUCUCCAUCUCAGCCAGAACUAGGAUUCCCUAGGCCAUCCCUUGCUUCUCAGCAGGUUACUGGAAUGUUCCUUCCACACCACCCCAUCACCCUCUGCAGGCCUGGCUUUGCAGCCUUAGAAUUUGCUAGCAGGACUUCGGGCUGGGGGCCAAGCUCAGAACCCUCCCGAAAGUAGGUUUCUAUGGGGAAGGCAGAAAUUCAGAACCAGACCCAGGAGGGCCAGAGGUAAUCGGUUCAGCGCCUAGGAAGGCCAGAGAACCUGGGAAGGCAAGAUGGGACCUUGGCACAUCAGAUGGGAAAGCAACGUGACCUGGACUAUAUCAUGAGAGAGAGCCUGCACCUGGCACCCCUCAGUGUCUGUGCCUUCGCAGCCAGCCUUGGCCUGGUGAGCGGAUUCUGGAAAGAAGUAAGAGCCUAAGGCUAAUUUUAGGCUGCAUCUUGAUCUUUUGGGGACCCUCUCAGUUUUCCCCUAGGCCCCUGUCUGGGCUUAUUCUUGUGACUACACGUCUUUCCAGACCAAUUUAACUCUCCCAAGGACUGAGGUUCCAGAUCCCUGUCUGAGAAACUGGCUGUUUUUCAUGCUAUGAAAUUUCCAGGUGAUGCGAAUCCCAAUAAAAAAUGGAAAUAGCUGGAAGGCAAAUAAAAUUUUAUUUUCUUGCACAACAUAAACAUGCUUUCUCUCUUCUCCUAAAUAUCAUUUCUCUCAUUUCACCACUCUUGCUGGAAAAGUCACAUCAACCAUAAGCCUUAUUUUUGAGAAACUACUAGUUUGCAGACACUGAGACCAGGUUAAAACCCCAAUCAAUAAAAGAGAAUUGCUGUAAUGCCAAGUGCUGGGCUGAGGUCUCAGGGAUUUUGGGGAGCAGCAGGGAAGGGGAAUUUGUGGACCUCCUGAAAUUAUGUGCAAAAUUGUGUCCACUUGUGCAUUUCCGGGAAGAGACUUCCUAGCUUUCAUCAACUCCUCAAAGGGGUCUAUGACCCCAAAAAUGAGUGCUUUGGUGGCAAAUGCUGUGGGAGAACAGAAUUUGGAAUUGGAGGAGAAAUUUGAAAAAUAAGGAGUACAUUAUUAUUCCACUAAUUCAUUAAUGCUACCGUAAUUUCAAUAAUCAUCAUUCUCAUCAGUGGUCUUUUACAAUCUUCCGUAAAAACCUUUUUUGGCAAGAAGAAAAAGAUCAUGAGAAAUUCAAGCCAUCGCAUUGGCACUUCUGUGUUUGAUCUCGGAAGGAGUGAAUUGAUUAUUUCUAAAUGAAGGACACUCAUUGAAGUCGAUCAUAGUUAAGAAGCCCCCUCCAGGCUUCCCCUAGGGUUCCCAUGGGACACUCCUCUCCCCAUCAAGCCUGGGGCUCCCUCAGAGGCCUGCUUCCUGCAGCAUCUCCCAGAUGUGGCUCUGAGGUUGGGCUCAGGAGGGCUCAUCAAACCGGCGCCUCGUGACAGGAUGAAGGAUUUAAACUCAGUCUAAGCACUAAUGCAGGGAGGCAUCUACGCUGAUGAAGAUGGACAGAAACACGCCCCCAGUGUGGUCGGUUGAAGGGGGUACUCUCCAUGGAAAUACAUUAACAAUAGGAUGCUCUCCGAAAUUCUGGCUCUGCACCUCCCAAAAUAUAGCCACAUUCCACAAGAUCCUACUGUGCUGUGGUGUUUUCCCUGGCGAAUCCCAUUUUUCUUAAGCACAAAAUUGAUUAAUUUGGUGCCGUAAAAUGAAGAUUUCCCUUUUUGCAUCCAGAGAGUAUCAAAGACUACAAAAUUAAUUAAGUUUUCUCUUUGUCUUUUUGAUCCAGGAAAGAACACUGUGGGAAAAAGCAGAUUAUUUUUCUUUCUUGCAUUUUUCACAUCCCUCUCUCUUCCUGUCUCCACUGAUUAAAAUGAGUGAUGUUGCACAUAAUUCCAAAAAAUGCAUAGACCACCCCCUCCCAAAUCCUGAGACCUUGAUAUCCAUCCACUCGUGAUAACUUAUCCUGUUCUUCCCUUGAACAUUCCGUUCCCUCUUUUUUUUUUUAAGGAAAGCUGCUCUUGCCUUCUAGCCAGAUAUGCUCUCCCCAUUUCCAGCUUCCUGUCCUUUGGGUAUUCUGCAAUAUAAUGAAUGAACAGUCUUGAUCGCCUUGGUUCGGGUGCAUCCCUUCACAUAUUUCUGAAUUACUUGUCACUGGCUCUCCUCUGUGCCCCAGGUUUAAGAUCCUCUGCCACGGUCGCAUUGUAAUAAAUAAUGAUUGUUAGAAGCCAAAUUUUCUCUAGUAUUUGGUGCAGGGAGAAGUAAGGAAGGGAGAGAUGCAGAAGAGAAAGGUUGGGAAGACGGUGUGUGUGCAUGUAUGUUUCAGGCUUGCUGUCUAUUUCCUGCUCUAAUAAUUUGUUAAAUAAAAAAUUGGCUCCAGACUUAAGUCCUAAGUGAACUAGAGUUCACUGUUCUCCAAGCAAAGAAGCAGCUAUUUAUUCACAUUCGUUGUUCUCAAUGCUUAAUCCACGGCAGACUUUACCCUUGGCCCCCAAAUAACACCAUCUUCCUUAAUUAUCUCCUCUGGUCAGAGGCCACUUGGGAAAAGAAUCGCAAAUUGAGCUCAUCCUGCCCAACGGUUACUGUCCUCGUCUGCCACUUACACUGUUAGCAAUGUGCUUGGCAUAUGCUGAGAACGGCUCAAGGGUGGACCCAGCCUCAGCGCCUCCAGACUCGAAACUAGACAGGAUACAAGAGGAGAAAUAAUAAAUAAAUAACGGCAGAGGCAAAAAGAGGUUUCAUUUUAAAUCUCCCAGAGCCCCCACAUCUGGAACACAGGGACCAUGUCUGGUUUUGGAUGUUGUUGAGGUUUGGCCUUCUUUAGCUCGAAUUCCUCUGAGCAAAGCUGAUCCCCCUCUGUCCUUCGUGGUGAGCGAGAGUGUUUCCAUUUCGAUGCUUUGCAUGCAGAUCCAAGCAGCACAUGGGUGGCGGUACUGGAUAAGCGCUAAGUUCCUUUUCGGCCUGAAGAUUCUGUGAUCCCAUUGAGGGGAAAGUGCACCCUUGACAAUUUAUUGGUGGUAAUUUCCUGUGUUCAUUCUGGCUUCCAGUUGAUUCUACUUUUCUGUAUAUUGCUCAAAUCCAUUCACUUUUGUUCUUCUCUGCUGGUUCUUCCUAAAUUCACAUUUCAUUUGCCUGAAUGAUUUGCAAGAUCUCAGCUAUGGACUGAAGGUUUGUAACCUCCCCAAAUUCACAUAUGGAAGCGCUCCCCCCUCAAUGUGAUGGUGUUAGGAGAUGGGGCUUUUGGGAAGCGAUUAGGUUUAGAUGAGGUGUGGAGGGUGAGGGCCCCUGUGGUGGGAUUAGUGCCCGUAGAAGAGGAAGAGAACAGAGCUUUCUCUCUUUCUGCCACGUGAGGACACAGCAAGAAGGUGACCAUCUGCAAGUACGAAGAGGGGCCUCACCAGACACCAAAUCUGCAUCAUGAUCUUGGACUUCCCAGCCUCCAGAACUGAGAGAAAUAAAUAUUUGUUGUUUAAGCCCCGGAGUCUAGGGUAUUUUGAUAGAGCAGCCCGAACUGCCUAGCACUGUCUCCAGCUGCUUCCACUCUUGUUGCAGCCCUCUUACACAUCUCCCCUGUUCCAUCCUGAAGCACAAUGCAGAUAACGCCACACCCCAGCCUGAAAACCCAGAGGGCCCCUCACUGCCUAUGGAGUCAGGCCCACAUCUUUUAACCCAGGUAGCCAUGCUUGACCAGUGGUAAAUUACUCAUCAGCCCCAUUGUUAUUAACACCCAAUGUCAAGACUCUAAGACGCCACCUGGCUGCCAAAAGAAAGUCCUGCCUUUUGCAGUGCCUCCCUCUCUGAAAGUCCUGGAGAUGUCCAAGGUGCUUCUAUUUCCUGCAGGUCAAGCCUAGUUACUGGUCCCUCUGUCGCCCUUUGCACAGCCAAUGCCGGACACUCUUGACACGAAAGGUGAAUGCCAGAGACCUGCAGUGGUCAAGAACGUGAGAGCCAGUGUGUCUCCCAUUUUUUGAGCUUUAACUUAAAAACAUUAAAAACGCCACCGAUGAAACACCAAUGGUUUCCAAGUAGUUAGUAAAGAAAUUGUAUUCAUACCAAAAAAAUAAAAUAAAAAUGCCCUAAAUUGCAAACAGAAGUGGUAUAAUUAAAGUAUAUAUAUUUAAUAAAUUAAUGCUUUUCACACACACAAAAAUCAAUGCAAUAUGAUUGUACUAGUUAUAGGAUAAUUAGAGGUUUUAUAGAGGAAGAAUAAAUCUUUACACUUAUAUAAGAAAGUAUAAGAGUUUAUCUUUGUGUCCUUAGAGCAAGAGGAAUUUCUUAAAUAAGACAAAAAAACGCAAAUCAAGAGGGAAAUAGCCUUACAUUUGGCUAUAAUAAUACUUAAAACUUCUAUGUAAUAAAAAUAUACUUAAACCAAGUUAUGGGCAAGCCACAGACUGGGAGUAGAUAUUCGUAAAGCAUAAUCAACAAAGGAACAAUUUAUAGAAUAUGUAAAGAAUGCAUACAAAUCAAUAAGAAGAAAAAAACAAUCCAAUAGAAAAAAUGGUGAAGUUCCAAAGAGGGAAUUCACAAAAGAGGACAUCUGAGUGGCUAAUAAAUACAUGAAAAGACGUUCAAUCUCAUCAGUAAUCAGGAGAAUGAAAAUUAAAACGAGAUGCUAUUUUAAAGCCACUAGAUUGGCAAGAAUUAAAAGUCCAGCAAAACUAAAUGCUGUAAAAAUGUGGGGGAAUUGGGGCUGUCUUAUGGUGGUAGCAGGAAUGGAAGACAUUAAAACCUUUUUGGAGGGCAAGUGAAUGUUCUCCGGUAAAGUCAAAGAUGUAUAUAUCCUCUGACUCAUUAAUUCCUCUUCCAGGAGAAUGUGCACAAAGAGACACAUACAAGGAUAGUUGUCAUAGCUAAAAAUGGGAAAUCAUUUAAAUUUCCAUCAAUACAGGAGUGGGAAAAUGUUGCAUAUUCAUAUCAUGGAAUACUAUAUAGCAGUUAAAAUGACUUAAAAACCCUCUAAAUAUAUCAACAUGAAGGAAUCUUAAAAUGUAACGUUAAUGGAGUUAUUGUUAAACAGGUAUGAAGUUUCAUUCCAGGAAGAUGAAAAAGUUUGGGACAGGGCUGGUGGUGAUGGUCACACAAGGUGAAUGUGGUUAAUGCCAUUGAACUGUAUACUUAGAAAUGGUUAAAAUGGUAAAUUUUAUGUUAUGUAUAUUUUACCACAUUAAAAAAGAAAAUCAUAAUGAACAGAAAAAGUGCACCGUGAAAUGCAUUAGGUGGCACAUUCAUGACAUUUAAAGACUUUAGAUAAUACUACUACAUACUUAUGGAAUCUGCAUGUAUAUGAUAAAUAUAUAAAGACGAAGAUGAGAAGGAGUCUCAGAUGCAAGACAUUGACUUCUGGGAACGAGAGGAGGAAAGUCUGACUUGGUGGCUAUGCUUGAAUUCUAUCUGUGACAUUUUAUUUCUUUUGUAAAAAAUCUAAGAACUCAUUAAAAUGUUAACACAAA